CCUACGGGAGGCAGCAGUAGGGAAUAUUGCUCAAUGGGGGAAACCCUGAAGCAGCAACGCCGCGUGGAGGAUGAAGGUUUUCGGAUUGUAAACUCCUUUUGUUAGAGAAGAUAAUGACGGUAUCUAACGAAUAAGCACCGGCUAACUCCGUGCCAGCAGCCGCGGUAAUACGGAGGGUGCAAGCGUUACUCGGAAUCACUGGGCGGAAAGAGCGCGUAGGCGGGAUAGCAAGUCAGAUGUGAAAUCCUAUGGCUUAACCAUAGAACUGCAUUUGAAACGGUUAUUCUAGAGUAUGGGAGAGGUAGGUGGAAUUCUUGGUGUAGGGGUAAAAUCCGUAGAGAUCAAGAGGAAUACUCAUUGCGAAGGCGACCUGCUAGAACAUAACUGACGCUGAUGCGCGAAAGCGUGGGGAGCAAACAGGAUUAGAUACCCCAGUAGUC
rnacentral:rRNA from 1 species